rnacentral:rRNA from 1 species
GUGUCAGCAGCCGCGGUAAUACAGAGGCCUCGAGCGUUAGGCGGAAUCACUGGGCUUAAAGCGUGUGUAGGUGGAUGCCUAAGUGCCUUGUGAAAUCCCAUGGCUUAACCAUGGAAUUGCUGGGCAUACUGGGUGUCUUGAGCCACUCAGGGGCUACCGGAACAAGCGGUGGAGCGGUGAAAUGCGUAGAUAUCGCUUGGAACGCCAAUGGUGAAAACAGGUAGCUGGGGGUGUGCUGACACUGAGACACGAAAGCCAGGGGAGCGAACGGGAUUAGAUACCCCUGUAGUCC